UAAGGAAUAUUGGACAAUGGAGGCAACUCUGAUCCAGCCAUGCCGCGUGAAGGAAUAAGGCCCUAUGGGUUGUAAACUUCUUUUAGACGGGACAAAACCCCUUUACGUGUAAAGGGUUGAUGGUACUGUCAGAAUAAGCAUCGGCUAACUUCGUGCCAGCAGCCGCGGUAAUACGAAGGAUGCAAGCGUUAUCCGGAAUUAUUGGGUUUAAAGGGUGCGUAGGCGGACUAAUAAGUCAGUGGUGAAAGCCUGCAGCUUAACUGCAGAAUUGCCUUUGAUACUGUUAGUCUUGAGUACAGUUGUGGUAGGCGGAAUGUGUCAUGUAUCGGUGAAAUGCUUAGAUAUGACACAGAACACCGAUUGCGAAGGCAGCUUGCUAAGCUGUAACUGACGCUGAGGCACGAAAGCGUGGGGAGCAAACA
rnacentral:rRNA from 1 species